rnacentral:misc_RNA from 1 species
GGCGCCAUGACUGCUAGGGUUUUGGUCAAAGAGCGCUUUCGGGAUUUGUGGAGGAUGAGUGAAGAAGAGGAGGGGGAGGGGAUCCGCAGCUCCGGUUGGGAGAGGAGCUUUGGUGCAAUGAGGGCGGAUCCCGAAACCAUGAGAGCCGAAGCCAUCAGAACUGAAGCUAUGGAGCGGCGGUGGGGCGUUUGGUUAUCAGCAGCGGCGCCGCCGUGCCCUAUAGAGGAAAUCUGCAGAGGAGUGAUGUG